AGAGUUUGAUCCUGGCUCAGGAUGAACGCUAGCUACAGGCUUAACACAUGCAAGUCGAGGGGAAACGACAUCGAAAGCUUGCUUUUGGUGGGCGUCGACCGGCGCACGGGUGAGUAACGCGUAUCCAACCUGCCCACCACUUGGGGAUAACCUUGCGAAAGUAAGACUAAUACCCAAUGACGUCUCUAGAAGACAUCUGAAAGAGAUUAAAGAUUUAUCGGUGAUGGGAUGGGGAUGCGGUCUGAUUAGCUUGUUGGCGGGGUAACGCCACGAAGGCGACGAUCAGUAGGGGUUCUGAGGAGGAAGGUCCCCCAGAUUCGGAACUGAGACACGGUCCAAACUCCUACGGGAGCA
rnacentral:rRNA from 1 species